rnacentral:lncRNA from 1 species
CGGAAGACUGGGGAUAGCUAGUGAGGCCUCUGGGCUGCGACCUACCUCGCAGAGGGGUUUGCACUAAGGCGCUGGGCGCCGGGCUCCGGGCGCUGUGGACCAUGGCUCCGCCCCAGGCGCCCAACAGGGACCGUGCAGGCCAGGAGGAUGAGGACCGUUGGGAAGCACGGGGGGACCGCAAGGCCCGGAAGCCCCUGGUGGAGAAGAAGCGACGCGCGCGGAUCAACGAGAGUCUUCAGGAGUUGCGGCUGCUGCUAGCGGGCACCGAGGUGCAGGCCAAGCUAGAGAACGCCGAGGUGCUGGAGCUGACCGUGCGACGCGUGCAGGGCGCUCUGCGAGGCCGGGCUCGCGGUGAGUGGCGGCGGGGAUCGAGGGCGGGGGCGCUGACCGGGCAUGCCUGCCAUCCAAGAGCCGGACACGUCGGCUCCCGGAGCCUCGGUCCUGUACAUGGUGAGGGCUCCCCCCAGAGCAGGACACGUUAAUGCGUCUCCUGGGUGAGCCCCGAACCCGCGGAGCGGAUCGUCAGAACCACAGUAGUCACUGCUCACUGUGCGGGAUGCCGCUCUCUUCUUCCCACCCUCCUGCACAGAGCGGGAGCAGCUGCAGGCUGAAGCAAGCGAGCGCUUCGCUGCUGGCUACAUCCAAUGCAUGCAUGAGGUGCACACGUUCGUGUCCACGUGCCAAGCCAUCGAUGCCACUGUCUCAGCUGAACUCCUGAACCACCUGCUAGAGUCCAUGCCGCUGCGCGAGGGUAGCAGCUUUCGGGAUCUGCUGGGGGACUCCCUAGCUGGGCUGCCCGGAGGCUCUGGGAGGAGCAGCUGGCCUCCAGGAGGGUCCCCAGAGUCCCCAUUGUCCAGUCCCCCAGGUCCCGGGGACGACCUGUGUUCUGACCUAGAGGAGAUCCCGGAGGCUGAACUAAACCGGGUGCCUGCCGAGGGGCCAGAUUUGGUGCCCACAUCCUUAGGCAUCCUGACCACAGCUCGCCGGGCCCAGAGUGUGUGGAGACCUUGGUGACCAACACUUACCAGGGACCUGUGAAUGGUGGGUGGG